rnacentral:lncRNA from 1 species
AUCAGUACCUGAAAAGACAGGAGAAUGAGUAUGGUUGUCUUACUUCAUAAUGUCACAUGCAAGAUUAAGUCUUCCACUUAGUGUCUUAAAAAUAUAGUUAAAAGAAAACCCUAGAGAAAUUUUAAUAUGCAUGAUCACUUCCAAUAAAGAUUAAUAUUUUAUUUUACCCAACACCCGGUAAGCAAAAAAAAAAAAAAAAUCUUCUAUAAACUACUGCUAAUUACCUUAACUGCAUUAGCUUUGUUCAAAUUUAUAUUGAUUUCAUAGCCCUAAAUAAUUUUAAUUUUGUAAAUUUGAUUCUCUUAUGCCUAAGAGGAAAUAGUUCAGAGUGUGUACUUUAUUCUUUUCUUUCUGUGAGCUUUGUUGUUUUGAAUAUAAAAUCUAGUUUUCCCUAAAGCAAUGAGAAUGUUAUUCUUUUUUUUUCAUGUUUUAAAUUGUAAGGAAAUUGGAUGAACACUGAGAAUAGUCUAGGAACUUGAUAACAAAAUUCAAUAUACCCUUAUGCUCAAUAGAGAUAAUUUCCUUAUUAACUAAGAAAAUUACUCAGCUUUUGUUUUGAUGUGAAUUUUUUAUUGAAUAACUUCUUAAAUAUAAUAGAAGAGAGUUAUUUACUGUCAAAUUUUGUGACCAGUAUUAUGUGAAUGGAAGAAAGGAAGAAGGAAUGCAAAUAAGGGAGGAAACAGAAUAGUCUGAAAAGACAUUAUUCCAGUUAGUCUUCAGAAAAAUUCUGUAUAGUGUGUUUCACAAUUCCUAUUUUUCCAAAAACAAGAAUGCUAAAAUGUGGUCAGAAGCUCAUUGCUAGGCAGGAUCUGAUUUCAGCUUUGUCUGGCUCCAAGUCCUGAGAAUUUUCUAUUUUGCCAUCUUGUGUGGAAGAAAUAAACUUUUGUGCCAAUAUUAUUUCCCAUCCAUCUUCCCCAUUAGACUGUAAGCUUCUUGAUAGCAGACAUGGAAGUGGCCUUAUUCAUUGCUCUGUUCUCUGUCCUAGCACACUUCCUGCAUCCCGAGUAAGUGUUCAGGAAAUAUGUAUUGAAUGAAGAAACUGGGGAAGCAAAGAUCUAGAAACACGAAUAAUCAUAGAAACUUAAUUUACUUUAUUUUUAAGCACUUAUUUUUCAGCUACUAAUCUCUCAUUGCUAGACAGGGUGGCUUGUAGACAUUUGGUGUUGAGUUCAAGAUGGAUUUCUAGCGAAUAUAUUGAGGGGAAUAUGUGACGAGCCUUUAUAAUAAUUAUCUUCCUUUUAGACCCUGGAUUUAAAAGAUGAAAUAGCAAAAUGUGUUAUCACAUCCCUUAUUGAAAAAGUUCACAAAUAAGAUCUAUGGAACCAAUCUCUUCUGAUUGGAUCUCAUCAAGUUAACUCCUCAUGAAGUAAUCAGUAACAGAAUGUCCUUCCCAAAUGGAGCAUCAACUCUAUGAUAAUAGUUUUGUUGGUGUUACCCCUAAAACCAAGUAUCUUAUUUAGUCUUGGUGAACAAAAUCAGUAAGUGGAGAAGUUUACUCACUAUUCUGAAGGUACUUAUGUUAUAACUGUUGCACAUAGACCAUGCCUUAAGGUGAGUAGCUGUGUUCCUUAUGCAAAAAAUUUUGAACUGUCUUCGGAUAAAAUACUGUGACACAUUUCCUAUUGUCAAGCUCUUUCAUCUUCUGGUAAUUAGCUCAGGGAGUUUGUGUCUCAGUAAAAUAUGCCUGUUUCAUACUUGCUUUUAGGAAGAAGAUCCUCAAAAUCAACUGAUUAAACAAAAAUGAUCUUCUUGGAUUCUCUUACCCUUGAAGGGCAAAAUAGUUAAUAAAUGAUCACCUUGAAGUGCUUCCCUAAUUCUUUUGUAUUCAAUGGCAUUCCCUUUUUCUAACUAUAGGACUACUGUUCAUAAACUUGGAAACUGACAAUUCUGCUUUUUCCUGAGAAUUCUAAGUUUCUAUUUCAUGCUUAAUGCAGUCAGUGGAGAGACAGAGUACUGGAUUUUAAGUAUGAUAUCCUUGUGAUAAUUACAUUUUAGUGUUUGGAUUUGACAUUAAUUAACUUCCCAGAGCUAUAAUACUUUAUAUGGAUGGACACAGAGGAAACUGAAAGAAUUUUGCUAAAACUGUGGCUGACAUUAUGUUGAGAGUAAAUAACUUUUAUUCCAACCCUCAGAAAGAAAUCAUUUUAUUCCAUAUCUUUAAAAUGUGAUUUUAUUUAUAUUAUUCACUUCGUAUUUCUCACAGUGGGGCAAUCUGGAAGAGGUCACCUUAUGCAAGUGAACAAAGUGAGUAUCAUUUUUUAAUGGGAUAGGUAGAAAUCAUGUGACAUAUGGUUGGAUGUAAUGAAAACAACACUGAACCCACCCCCAUCCCCAUGUCAAUAUUUGCCCUGUCAAAUAUUCCUAAGCUGAGUCUCGUCAUGAGGAAACAUCAUGACCAACACAAAUUGAGAGAGAGUCAACAAAAUGCAAUAGUACUUAGUGAAGAUGAAAAGGGCAUUAGAUUUGUACAGUAAGAUAUUUUGAGAGAGAGGACACUUUCACAUAACAUUUAUUACAGUAAAUUGUUAUAAUUGUUCUAUUUUAUUACUGUUAAUCUCUUAUUAUGCCUAAUUUAUAAAUUACACUUGAUCAUGGGUAUGUAGGAUAGGAAAAAACAUAGUACAUGUAGGGUGAGAUACUUUCUGUGGUUUCAAGCAUCUUGUGGGGGACUUGAAAUGUAUUCCCAGUGGGUAAGGAAGGACUACUUACUAUAAUUUCACUGUAAUCUGUAAAAAUUUAAAACUUUUUUUUUAAGUGCAGAGAACUGUUCCAGCUUGAAAGAAACUAUAUUACAACUAGAUGCAACAUUUUAUUCUUGGCUGUGACAUUAAUGGGGUUAACUGGGUGAAGUUGACAAGGGUUUGAAGAUUAGAUGGCAGUAAUAUUCAAUAUUAAUUUCCCAAUUUUGUGUAUAUAUUAUGAUUAUAUAAGAAUGUUCUUUUGUGCCCCAUAUUAGAUUCCAGAUAUAAGUGAUAUCAUAUGGUAUUUGUCUUUCUCUUUCUGACUUACUUCACUCGGUAUGAGUCUCUACUUCCAUCCAUGUUGCUACAAAUGGCAUUAUUUUGUUCUUUUUUAUGAAUCUAAUAUACAGCACAAAUGAACCUUUCUACAGAAAAGAAAAUCAUGGACCUGGAGAAUAGACUUGUGGUUGCCAAGGGGGAAGGGGAAGGAGUGGGAUGGAUUGAGAGCUUGGGGUUAAUAGAUGCAAACCAUUGCUUUUGGAAUGGAUUAGCAAUGAGAUUCUGCUGUGUGGCACUGGGAAUUAUGUCUAGUCACUUAUGAUGGAGCAUGAUAAUGUGAGAAAAAAGAAUGUAUACAUGUAUGCGUAACUGAGUCACCAUGCUGUACAAUAGAAAAAAAAUUGAUAUGGGGAAAUAACAAUUUUAAAAAGUUCUUGAUUAUGGGGAAUUUAUUCUCAAAUAGCUCAAGGAAAAAAGUUCUUUUUAUUGUAAUUGCAACUCAUAAGUUGAAGAUAGUUUAAAAGUAAAAAAAUAACAACAAAAAUGUAUACUGUGUAAUAUUGUAUUAAAAUGCAUUUUGAGACAGAUACUUAGAUGAUCACUUAACGUGGAAUCUAAAAAAGCUGAUUUCAUAGAAAUAACAAUUAGAAUUGGGGUGACUAAGGGCUGGGGGGAAUGUGGAGAGUUUGGACCAAAGGUACAAAGUUCUAGUUAUAAGAUGAGUAUGUUCUGGGGAGCUAAUGUGCAGCCUGGGAAUUACAGUUAGUGUUAUUGUAGAAUAUACUUGUAAGUUGCUAAGAGAGUAGACUUUAAAUGUCCUCACCACAGAAAAAAAUGCCAGUUACUCCACAUAAUGGAGGUGUUAGCUAACACUAGGGUGGUCAGCAUUUUGCAUUAUAUAAGUAUUUCAAAUCAACAUGGUGUACACCCCAAACUUACAUAGUGCUAGAUGCCAGUUCAUUCUCAACAUAGCUGAAAAAAUGUCUUAUUUUUGUAAGCUUUGGGAUCUUUCAUUAAAUGGACUUCAUGCCCAUCUCCGUAUACAAAAACAAAACAUAAAUAGAAUAGGAUAAUUCUCCUAAUAACAUAGUUUAUACACAGUAUUGCAUUUUUUCAUAGAGCAAGUAUUAAUAUAACUAAAUAUCAUGGGAUCAAAUACAAUAUUGUGGGAACAAACACAUCUACAGGUUCAGGGGGUAUAUGCAUUUUUAUAAACUUUGCAAAUAGCUUCUUUCCCAAUUGACUUUGCAAAGUCACUUGCCUAAUCCUUUCCCAUCUCUACUUAAUUCUCUUUCCCUACCUUGUACCCCAAUCCCCAGCCAGAUUAAGUAGGGUUUAAUGAUGAAGGGUGACAGUUAUUUCUGCUACAUGAGAGCAAGCAGAAUAUUGACUUUAACUACAUCACUGAGUAGUUUGAGAAUAAAAAUGAAUAGGACACAAUCCCUGUGCUAAAAGCCUGUCUAGUUAUUGCCAACAAUGUCAGCUAGAAAUUUGCCUGGAUUAGGAAGAGAGGCAAACAUAAAGACCUUCUGUUAUCUAGCAUCAGCAAAGGACACCCCAAAUACUCAGGUGCUGUAUCCUAUAUUCAAUCUAGGAGUCUUUAUAAAUUAGGAACUGAUUACCCCAGAAUAUAAAGGGAAAUAAAAGAGCAAUAUAUUAAAUUGCAGAAUGUUCUUCCCAGCUUGCCUCUCAACAGUUUGAUCUUCACAUUUUCCUGGACUUUUUAUCACUGCAGUUGUUAAUGUAAGUGAAGUCAGAGUUUGUAGAAAACCUCUUUAUCUAAUCACGAGCUAAUUACUUAUAAUUAGCAAAUCACUUGCUAAAAUUAUCCUUUCACAUGUAUCUGAGUGAAAUCAAGAGGUAAAUCAGGAGAAAGAAAAAUCAAUCACUAUAUUGAUCUCCCUUAAAUCUUAAAAUCUUAUCAGAUUACACGCAGAUUUUCACAUUUGAAAAAUUAGUUGAGCUCCUCAAUGCAAUGUGUUCUCUAGAACAAAAGAGGGCUGUGGAAUUAAGUAGACUCUGAGAUCAGCACAGCGCCAACUCUACCUCCUGUGCCACAUUGCAGCUCUUUCACCAAAGGGGCUGAAUUUUGAAUGUAGAAUCGUGCAGGGACGGUGGCCCGAGACAUAGGUUGCUGGUGUGACAACUUUGAUACUAGUUUCAACAACAGGUCAUUAAGGAGCCCAGAUUCUCUUGGAGCUGUAUGUGCUCCUUAAAUUAUCUGCAGCAUCAGUGAAGAGGAGUCUUACUUUAAAUUAAUACAGAAGAAUGAAAAUCUGUCUGAAGAUACGGUGCUUGAAUAUUUAAAUAUACAUUUGAUACCUUUUUUUCACUUUGAAAUAUUACAUUCAUUUUGCAAAUUUUCAGAUCCAAAGCAAGACAUAUAGGGACAUUGCAUACCUCUUUUGUUUAAAUUUAAAUAGAAAGCAAAAUGUAUUUCACAUGUGUGCACCUAUGUUUAUUUACAUACAUAGAGAAGUGUUUUAUACAUACACAUCCAUCCAAAGGAUGCACAGAAUCACUUCCUUAUUCUCAUCUUUUCAAAUGUUUUUGGGAGUUCCCAUUGUGGCUCAGCGAUAACAAAACUGACCAGUAUUCAUGAGGAUGAGGGCUUGAUCCCUGGCCUCGCUAAGUAGCUUAAGGGUCCUGAGUUGCUGCGCUAUGGUGUAGGCCAACCCCUACAGCUUUAACUUGACCCCUAUCUUGUGAACUUCCAUUUGCUGUGGAACUUCCAUGUGCCACAGGUGAGGCCCUAAAAGGAAAAAUAAGAUGAAAAAUGUUUUUAAAGCUUACACUCUAAAUAGAUUUUUUUUUUAGAACUUCAACUAGUUAUUUUAGGUUCUUGUGUCAGACAUGGUCAUGACAUCUAUCAUCAUACAUUUCUAAGCCUUUAGUAUUCUAUUUUUGAAUACGGUAGCCUUAUUUUUUAUUACUAUGAUUAAUCUUUGCUUCUUCUAUAGG